rnacentral:lncRNA from 10 species
GGCUCUUAAGACACAAGUCUGCUGAUGCUCCUGGCUGAAUAAACCUCUUCCUUCUUUAAUCUGAUGUCUGAGGAGUUUUGUCUGCAGCUUGUCCUGCUACAUUUCUUGGUUCCCUGACCGGGAAGCGAGGUGAUUAAUGGACGGUCGACACAGCCCCUUAGGCAGCUUAUGCCUGCCCUGUAGAGCAUCCCUGUGGGGGACUCCGGCCAGCUUGAGCAAUGUAGAUCCUGAUGAGCGCUCCCAGGCAGGCAUUUGCCCCGGUACAACGCCUCAUCAGAGCGGUGCAUGGCAAGCCCACAUGAAGGACCAAUGCAGUGGCUGAACACUGGGAAGGAACUGGCACUUUAAGUCUGGACAUCUGAAACUUGAAGUUGCAGGUGUUGUGUCUCAGAUCCAUCCCAGUCAGCUAACACUGGCAGCUCAGGACAAGCAGACCAGCCAGCAGGACACAGAUCAUCCAACCCGGCUGAUCCUGAGAUGAGACCAAGCUGCUGCUGAGGACGAUAGCCCUGCUCUGGUCACUCCAGAGGCUGACCAGUCUAUGCAUGGCUGAAGCUUGAAACAAGCCCUGCUCUAGUCACACUGGCAGCUGACUAGUCUACUCACAGCCAAAGCUUAAGGACUUACCAAGCCAAGUGAUGUAGUUAAAAAUCUUAAGACUAGUAGUUUUCCUGUAAUACUACCUGUUUUCCUAUUGUUCUGUCUCUGUAUUCAACCUUUUUCCCAGGUAAGGACCUCUUUUGUCUUUGCUGGAUAUGAAUAUGCUGUACAUUGUUUUGUUGUUGUUACCCCCCAUAACCAUGCUAGAAGAAACACCUAUAUAAGGUAUCCCCACUGUACACAUACUACUUAGUCAGGAAACCCAGGCCCAUCCCACCCAGCAACAAUUCCGAGUCUUUAAGUCAUUCUUUCAACAUAUAAACCAGAAGUUUACCAGAGCAUCCUCCUUUAGCAAAAAAAAAAAAAAAAAAAAAAAAAAAACACCUAUUUGCUCAGCUGGCUGAAAACAUUGCCGGCAGCCUAGACGUUUCCUCAUGUUAUGUUUAUAAAAAGGCUAACAUAAGAGACCAAUGGCCUUGAGAAGCAAAAGAGUUAAUGCCUCAAGAUAACUUUACUUUAACUAACUCUUUCCCCAAACAGACGCCACAAUUUCAAGCAUCUGGCUCUUAAAAACUUCCAUUAUUAAGAAAUACUGUGUUACUCGCUACGAAAAAGCUUUUAAAACCCAGUAAAAGAACUAACCUGCUUAGGACAUGACAAAGUUGGUACAUUUGCCUGUACAGGUUUAACACAGGUUUGAUCCUAGGUCUAUAUUUAGAAAAUAGUUUCUAGCUGUAAGCGAAUUUAAAACCCUCAUUGUAAGUGUAUUACUAGUAAUAGAAACUUGCUUGCUGCUCCCCUGUGUAUUACGCUUGCUCCUUCAAAUGAUAAAAGGUUUUGUAGCUACCAUGGUUUGUCAAAAAACUUCAGCACAAGUGUAUUACAUAAAACACUAUCACUCUGUCUCGCAAAGAGACUCAAAGUAAAAAUAAAAGUGAGAACUCCACUAAUUAGUGAAAUUCUCAAAGAGGGGGAUAAGGAAGGAGACCACUACUAUUCCUGCUGCCCUCCUCCCCCCACCUUGCCUAGUUCACAAAACAGGAGAAAAGAGAGAAAGCAAAAAGUUGGAAAGAAACAAAAGAUAAACAGCCAGACAACCUUGGCACCACCACCGCGGCCCUAGAAGUUAAAAAAGUAAUAAUAAUAACAAUCCCUGACCUAAACUACUUGUGUUAUCUGUAAA